rnacentral:rRNA from 1 species
UGCCAGCAGCCGCGGUAAUACGUAGGGGGCAAGCGUUGUCCGGAAUUAUUGGGCGUAAAGGGCGCGUAGGCGGAUGUUUAAGUCCGGUGUGAAAGAUCAGGGCUCAACCCUGAGAGUGCAUCGGAAACUGGGCAUCUUGAGGACAGGAGAGGAAAGUGGAAUUCCACGUGUAGCGGUGAAAUGCGUAGAUAUGUGGAGGAACACCAGUGGCGAAGGCGACUUUCUGGACUGUAACUGACGCUGAGGCGCGAAAGCGUGGGGAGCAAACAGGAUUAGAUACCCUGGUAGUCCACGCCGUAAACGAUGAGUGCUAGGUGUAGAGGGUAUCGACCCCUUCUGUGCCGCAGUUAACACAAUAAGCACUCCGCCUGGGGAGUACGGCCGCAAGGUUGAAACUUAAAGGAAUUGGCGGGGGAC